CCAAUAGCGUAUAUUAAAGUUGUUGCAGUUAAAAAGCUCGUAGUUGAAUUUUGGGUCUGGCCGGGCGGUCCGCCCUCUGGGUGAGCACUGUUCCGACGCCGGGCCUAUCCUUCUGGUGAGUCGGCAUGUCCUUUAUUGGGUGUGCCGGGGAACCAGGACCAUUACCUUGAAAAAAUUAGAGUGUUCAAAGCAGGCGUAUGCUCGACUCCAUUAGCAUGGAAUAAUGAAAUAGGACGCGUGGUGCUAUUUUGUUGGUUUCUAGAACCGCCGUAAUGAUUAAUAGGGAUAGUUGGGGGCAUUAGUAUUCAAUUGUCAGAGGUGAAAUUCUUGGAUUUAUUGAAGACUAACUUCUGCGAAAGCAUUUGCCAAGGAUGUUUUCAUUAAUCAAGAACGAAAGUUAGGGGAUCGAAGACGAUCAGAUACCGUCGUAGUCUUAACCAUAAACUAUGCCGACUAGGAAUCGGGUGAUGUUAUUCUCAUGACUCGCCCGGCGCCUUAUG
rnacentral:misc_RNA from 1 species